CACGUAGGGCGCAAGCGUUGUCCGGAAUUAUUGGGCGUAAAGAGCUCGUAGGCGGUCUGUUGCGUCCGCUGUGAAAACUCGGGGCUUAACCCCGAGCCUGCAGUGGAUACGGGCAGACUAGAGGUAGGUAGGGGAGAAUGGAAUUCCCGGUGUAGCGGCGAAAUGCGCAGAUAUCGGGAGGAACACCGGUGGCGAAGGCGGUUCUCUGGGCCUUACCUGACGUUGAGGAGCGAAAGCGUGGGGAGCGAACAGG
rnacentral:rRNA from 1 species